GAUGAACGCUGGCGGCGUGCCUAACACAUGCAAGUCGAGCGGCAGCGAGGGGUGCUUGCACCCUGUCGGCGAGCGGCGGACGGCUGAGUAACGCGUGGGAACGUGCCCCAAAGUGAGGAAUAACUGCCCGAAAGGGUAGCUAAUACCGCAUAUUAUCUUCGGAUCAAAGGAUUUAUCCGCUUUGGGAGCGGCUCGCGUCGGAUUAGGUAGUUGGUGAGGUAAUUGCUCACCAAGCCGACGAUCCGUAGCUGGUCUGAGAGGAUGACCAGCCAGACUGGAACUGAGACACGGUCCAGACUCCUACGGGAGGCAGCAGUGAGGAAUCUUCCACAAUGGGCGAAAGCCUGAUGGAGCAACGCCGCGUGCAGGACGAAGGCCUUCGGGUUGUAAACUGCUUUUAUAAGUGAGGAAUAUGACGGUAACUUAUGAAUAAGGAUCGGCUAACUACGUG
rnacentral:rRNA from 1 species